rnacentral:rRNA from 1 species
GACAGAGGGUGCAAACGUUGUUCGGAAUUACUGGGCGUAAAGCGCGUGUAGGCGGCUCGGAAAGUCGGGUGUGAAAGCCCUGGGCUUAACCCAGGAAGUGCACUCGAAACUUCCGAGCUGGAGUCCUGGAGAGGAAGGCGGAAUUCUCGGUGUAGAGGUGAAAUUCGUAGAUAUCGAGAGGAACACCGGUGGCGAAGGCGGCUAUCUGGACAGAGUCUGACGCUGAGGCGCGAAAGCUAGGGGAGCAAACAGG